rnacentral:misc_RNA from 1 species
CUCCUCCGACAACUCCAGUGUGCUUUCUCCACUGGAGUUGUCGGAGGAGGAAUGGGAGAAGAUCCACAAAACGAACUUAAGAGGGGCAUGGUUGGUGACCAAAUAUGUUUGUAUGCAUAUGCGCGCUGCUAAUCAAGGAGGAUCCAUAAUCAAUAUCUCUUCUAUCGCUGGUAUUAAUCGUGGACAACUACCAGGUAGUCUUGCUUAUACGUCUUCAAAGGAAGCUCUCAACAGCAUUACAAAGGUGUUGGCCCUCGAAUUGGGACCAUACAAGAUCAGAGUGAACUCAAUAUCACCUGGACUUUUCAAAUCUGAGAUAACAGAGGGUCUCAUACAAAAAGACUGGAUUAAAAACAUUGAACUGAGAACUAUUCCGUUGAGAACACAUGGAACAUCACAUCCCGCUUUAACUUCAGUUGUACGUUACCUGAUCCACGAUUCCUCGGAAUAUGUUUCAGGUAACAUGUUCAUAGUAGAUGCAGGAGCUACUUUACCCGGUGUCCCGAUUUUCUCAUCCCUCUAGUUAUAGAGGAAAACAAAUUAGAAAAAUAAGGAUGG